CCAGAUAUUUACUCCACAUGCUCCAUAGCAGAAUAAGUUAACCAAAGAGCACCACAUGUGUAAAAAAAGAAAAGAUUUUCUUAUCCUCAUGUACUCUGUAUCGUAGAUACCACGCAAAAUUUUGAUCUAUCCUUCUGGCUUCAACCACUUGAUGUGUACCUAAACUCGGACAUGAGUAAUUAACUAUUUUGUCAACGAGA